AUUGAACGCUGGCGGCAUGCUUUACACAUGCAAGUCGAACGGUAACAGGCCUUCGGGUGCUGACGAGUGGCGAACGGGGGCGUAAUGCAUCGGAACGUGCCCAGAGGUGGGGGAUAACGCAGCGAAAGCUGUGCUAAUACCGCAUGUGAUCUGAGGAUGAAAGCGGGGGACCAAGCAGCAAUGUUUGGCCUCGCGCCUCUGGAGCGGCCGAUGUCAGAUUAGGUAGUUGGUGGGGUAAAGGCCUACCAAGCCGACGAUCUGUAGCUGGUCUGAGAGGACGACCAGCCACACUGGGACUGAGACACGGCCCAGACUCCUACGGGAGGCAGCAGUGGGGAAUUUUGGACAAUGGGCGCAAGCCUGAUCCAGCAAUGCCGCGUGCGGGAAGAAGGCCUUCGGGUUGUAAACCGCUUUUGUACGGAACGAAAAGGCUCUGGCUAAUACCUGGGGCUGAUGACGGUACCGUAAGAAUAAGCACCGGCUAACUACGUG
rnacentral:rRNA from 1 species